UACGAAGGGGGCUAGCGUUGUUCGGAAUCACUGGGCGUAAAGGGCGCGUAGGCGGCUUUAUAAGUCGGGGGUGAAAGCCUGUGGCUCAACCACAGAAUUGCCUUCGAUACUGUAGAGCUUGAGACCGGAAGAGGUAAGUGGAACUGCGAGUGUAGAGGUGAAAUUCGUAGAUAUUCGGAGGAACACCAGAGGCGAAGGCGGCCAACUGGUCCGGUACUGACGCUGAGGCGCGAAAAGCGU
rnacentral:rRNA from 1 species